UGAACUUUUGGUGAAGGAGGCUUCUUAGGAGUGCAACCAUCAUCACACUUCUUGUUGUUACAACAACUCUUUAUAAUAGGUUUACACUCACAACAACUCUUUGGAUUUUCACACUUGAAGCAAAUUGUGACACAUUGUAUGCCAUCACAUUUUGCACUUCCACAUGUGCAUUUUUCACACUUACCAUUACAAUUAGUCUUGCAACAUGAGUUGCAAGAACCAAACAAAACAGUACGACAUGCUUCCAUCAUCUUUUUCUUUUCUUCUUCUUUUUUCUUUUCUUCUUCUUUCUUUUUUUCCUCCUCGGUUUUCUUCUUCACCUCUUCCACGCUUAGAAUGGUGACACAGUUGAACUUCUUCUUUAGCAUGUUGGCUAAGCAAACUGUGUCUACAUUAUCACCAGUGACAGAUAUCUUAUCUUUAUCAUCUCCUUCCAAUGAUACUGAAGUCACACCUAUAUAUGCAUAUGUUUUGGUUUUUGAUCAUGAGUCAAACAAAUUAACUUGCACUAGCUAAAAUAAGUAUAUAUUGUGAUUGAGAAAUUAUGUUAGGACAUCCAAAAAUUGAUGUCAAAUAUGGUGUGUAAAGUGUUUUUGUGCGUAAUUUUAAAAUGUUUGUAAAGUGAGAGAAAGAUAGAGAUAAACACACAUGUAUCAGUAUAUUGAUGUUCAAAUAACAUAUUUGACUACGAUUUAUUGUAAAGAAAAGUUGAAUUCUCAAUAAAAAUUAUGCACAAAAAUAAUGAAAAUAAAUCUUUACUUAAUUUUAUCAUUAAGUAUUAAAGACAAAAAUUGAAGACAAAAUUUAAUUUAAUUAUCUUAAUUUUUAAACACCUAUAUUUAAAAAUAAAAUCAAAGCGAAUAUUUCAAUUUUUUCUAAUGAUUUUUUUGGUUCUGUUUUUUGAAAUUGUUUUGUCUUUGUACCAACCCGUUAACUUAUACGUACACAUUCGUCCACACGAGACUUAAAUUGGUGUCAUUAAGACAACUCAUUUGUCUUACAUGUGUAAAUGUGCACACAAACACAAUACAUUGGUUGUAUGGGCACUUAUUGCCCACACACAUAUAUAAUUAAAAAGGAAAAAAAAAAAACAUAAUGAUAUUUAUAUCUGAUUUUUGUAAAUGAAUAUUUUUGCUGUUAAUUAUGUAGUUGUUUUGAUAUUAAUAUUUAUACUAGGAAGAUAACAUGUAUUUGAGUACCCCAAAUUUUUUCAUAUAUAUCCAUAUGUAAGAUUGAAAUCAUGGUGAAGUCAACUCAUGUGACACAAAAGUUCAUAUAACCUCCCACCUUUUAUCUACAACCAAAAAAAGAGUGAGAUUUUACAAUUUUAUAGAUGAAAAUCAUGAGAUUUAUUGAGGUUGAAAAUUUGUGAACAUAACAAAUCUAAGAACAAAAUAAUUAAGGAAAACCGGUCCCCUUAAAUAAUUUUUUUGCUUUAUUCAUCCUACUUCUAACUACAAAGCAAACUAUGGUUUUAAAUUCCAAUUAACGUUACACUGCAAACUUUUAUAUUACGGUAAAAUGUAGUCAAUGCGAUCAAAAUUGUAAUUGGGAUAUUGUUGCGAAGACUUCAAAAUCCGCAAUAUCGUGGUCCCAAUUGCGGUUGCAGCCCAUAAUUUAAAUCCAUAAUUCAAAUAAAUAUAGUGAUUGAGAUGAUGAUUACCUUUGACCUCAGCAGCAGUUUUGAGUGCUUUGUUUCUGCAUUUCUCACAAUCCAUUUGCAACUUUAUAACUAUCUUUUGCUGUAUUUGCCAUUUAAUAAAUAGUUUGUUAAUAAAAUUACAACAAAAGAUAAAGAAAACUAAUAAAAAGAAAUACUAAAUAAAUUGGAAAAUAACAAGAAAACUCAAAAUAAUGAUUAACUAAUUAUCUCACCUUCAUCCUAGCUUAAUUGAAACAAAC
rnacentral:lncRNA from 1 species